rnacentral:rRNA from 1 species
AUUGAACGCUGGCGGCAGGCCUAACACAUGCAAGUCGGACGGUAGCACAGAGGAGCUUGCUCCUCGGGUGACGAGUGGCGGACGGGUGAGUAAUGUCUGGGGAUUUGCCGGAUAGAGGGGGAUAACCACUGGAAACGGUGGCUAAUACCGCAUAACGUCGCAAGACCAAAGAGGGGGACCUUCGGGCCUCUCACUAUCGGAUGAACCCAGAUGGGAUUAGCUAGUAGGCGGGGUAACGGCCCACCUAGGCGACGAUCCCUAGCUGGUCUGAGAGGAUGACCAGCCACACUGGAACUGAGACACGGUCCAGACUCCUACGGGAGGCAGCAGUGGGGAAUAUUGCACAAUGGGCGCAAGCCUGAUGCAGCCAUGCCGCGUGUAUGAAGAAGGCCUUCGGGUUGUAAAGUACUUUCAGCGGGGAGGAAGGCGAUGUGGUUAAUAACCGCGUCGAUUGACGUUACCCGCAGAAGAAGCACCGGCUAACUCCGUGCCAGCAGCCGCCGUAA